AAAGAAUAGGUCAUUGGACUCGAAAAACAAAUAGGACAAGGUGUUCUGAAAUGCAUAAACAAGUCGGGGAUUCACUGCUGCUUUAGUUGGUCCUGAGAGGAGAACUCUCAUCAUCUUUGAUCUUGACCUUUACCAAAACACCUACGAGCAGGUGUUAUGCACAUAGAUCAGAACCUAGAGCAUAAAGGAAAAUGAAGUCUGUACAAAGUGAACACUACCAGCUUACGGGAGAUGUUGCCAUCAAGGGCAAAAGCUGUGAAGACGCAAAAUUCAAUUGAGCUCUACUGGAAUGGCAAUCCAUUAAUGUCUCCAUCUAUAUCACAACUGAUGAAGGUAGCCUCAUGCAUGCUGUUGAAAGACUACGGGUGAAAUGCUGGUGUCCCUUCAAAUGACUGAACCAGGAAUAGUUUUGGUGAUGCUAUGGCUGAAACUGGAGUUACAUCUGAUCAUAUCUUGAAGUGACUUAUUUCCUUGAGACAAAGUGCACCUGCUUAGGAGAAAGAAAAAAAGCAGCAAUACUUAAUGACCAGCACUCCUCAGUGAACAGUUGUUUUUUGUGUCUGCUCGGUUCUUCCUUAGAUAGAAAGAAGUGGUUGGGUUUUCAAGGAAGGAGUGUAAGUUCAA